rnacentral:rRNA from 1 species
UACGGAGGGAGCUAGCGUUGUUCGGAAUUACUGGGCGUAAAGCGCACGUAGGCGGCUUUGUAAGUUAGAGGUGAAAGCCCGGGGCUCAACUCCGGAACUGCCUUUAAGACUGCAUCGCUUGAAUCCGGGAGAGGUGAGUGGAAUUCCGAGUGUAGAGGUGAAAUUCGUAGAUAUUCGGAAGAACACCAGUGGCGAAGGCGGCUCACUGGACCGGUAUUGACGCUGAGGUGCGAGAGCGUGGGGAGCAAACAGG